rnacentral:sRNA from 1 species
AGACAUGGGACAUGAUCCAGGGGAUGGGAAUUUUCGAUCAAUUUUCCAUAUUUUAAUAGUCUUCACUUUGCUCAAUUCAUGCUCCACAGAGCCACACGCCAAGACGAAAUGCUCCCUAGAGUGCUAUGCACUUUGUAUGCAAUCUGGAACGGUGAGUAAAAAAAUCCCAAUUAUCAUGGUCCCGCCACGAAAAAUCCAAAUUUAAAGGUGCAUAGGUUGAAAAUUUUUCAAAAUUUUUCGCAAAAAAAUAUCUCACAGCGAAAACUACAGUAAUUCUCUAAAUGACUACUGUAGCGCUUGUGUCGAUUUACGAGUUUUAAUCAGUUUCGAAAUCGAGCCCGUAAAUCGACACUAGAGCUACAGUAUUGUAUUCAUUUACAGAAUUACUGUAGUUUUCGCUGCGAGAUAUUUUGCGCGUCAAAUAUGUUGCAUACUACGUAUUCUCAGAAUUUUGUGUUCCAGUAGGUUUAAUUCUGCAACGUAGCCGCGGAAGAGAAACCUCGGCCACCAACUUUUUUUUCAGAGACCACACUUUAGCUAAGGUCGAGCUAGAAUUUGGAAUAUUUCGAAAAAUUUUUGACCAAUUUUUUUAAAUGUUUUAUAAAAAUAUGUUUUCAUAUUUUUUCGGUACAACUAAGUCAAGUGGUCGAACCUCGUCUUGAGUGAUGGAUUAGACGCGCCAAAUUGUUGGGUCAACUGUCAAACUCUUGUUCAUUCUCUGAAGACUUAGAUACUUUUGAAGAUUUUGUUGCGGGCCCCACCGCUAAGUGGAUUUAGUGGGAGUGGGAGGCGAUUAGAUGAGAGAAAGGGAGAUGGGGGACGAAGAGUGAAACUUCUGCGGAGAGAAGGUAAUUGUAAUUUAGAGUAUAGAGUUAUUAUGGUGAAAGUUAGAGCAGGCGAACGUUGAGAAAAUUGUUUUUUUGUGAAAUGGAAACUUAAAAGUAGCCAGAAGUCGGUGCAUUUUUCAUGGGGUACGCUCUGUAAAAAUUGAAGAAAUUUUAAAAUUCUAAGUGAGUUGGUCACAAGCGAGACUCAUAUUUAAAAAAAACAUACUUCGAUUCUUUGAUUAAGCUCCAGCUCCAAUUUUCAGCCAAUCUCCUCUACGUGUAACUGUCCAGUAGCUAAAGAACCUUCAAAUUGUACACGGUUUGAUGCCGACUUGCAAUCUGG